UGGGGGAUAUUGCACAAUGGGCGAAAGCCUGAUGCAGCGACGCCGCGUGGGGGAUGAAGGCCUUCGGGUUGUAAACUUCUUUUGCUCUGAACAAGGCGCACCAUGGGGUGUGUUGAGUGUAGGGGUUGAUUAGCGCCGGCUAACUACUUGCCAGCAGCCGCGGUAAUACGUAGGGCGCGAGCGUUGUCCGGAAUUAUUGGGCGUAAAGGGCUUGUAGGUGGCUGGUUGCGUCUGUCGUGAAAGCUCAUGGCUUAACUGUGGGUUUGCGGUGGGUACGGGCUGGCUUGAGUGCAGUAGGGGAGGCUGGAAUUCCUGGUGUAGCGGUGGAAUGCGCAGAUAUCAGGAGGAAUACCGGUGGCGAAGGCGGGUCUCUGGGCUGUUACUGACACUGAGGAGCGAAAGCAUGGGGAGCGAACAGG
rnacentral:rRNA from 1 species